rnacentral:rRNA from 1 species
AAUAUUGGAGAAUGGGGGCAACCCUGAUCCAGCCAUGCCGCGUUGGUGAAGGAGGUCUUCGGGUUGUAAAGCACUUGAAGUUAGGAGGAAGCACAUUAGGUUAAUACCUUUCUGUUUUUACGUGACUGACAGCAUAAGCACCGGCCAAAUUAGUGCCAGCAGCCGCGGUAAUACGGAGGGUGCAAGCGUUAAUCGGAAUUACUGGGCGUAAAGCGAGCGUAGGUGGUUCGUUAAGUUGGAAGUGAAAGCCCCGGGCUUAACCGGGGAAUUGCAUUGAAAACUGACGAGCUAGAGUACGGUAGAGGGUAGUGGAAUUCCAUGUGUAGCGGUGAAAUGCGUAGAUAUAGGAAGGAACAUCAGUGGCGAAGGCGACUACCUGGACUGAAACUGACACUGAGGUGCGAAAGCGUGGGGAGCAAACAGG